AAAUUAAUUCCGCUUUUGGAGCCAUUUAUCCUGCAACGGUGUUAGGAUGGAUAUUGGGAGCAACAGCAGCCACGCGGCUUGGCCUCUCCUUGCAUAUGCUUGUACUCUCAUUACCAAGAUAUGCUAGCUGAGCUGGGGGUUCCCAUGUUAUGGCCAGCCUGCUUUGACGAAGAAAUUCAAGUUGAAGGGUGGCCUGCUUUUAGGAAUUUACGAAACUGGUCAUGGUGCAUGCUAGGACAAAG
rnacentral:misc_RNA from 1 species